rnacentral:rRNA from 1 species
GACGAACGCUGGCGGCGUGCUUAACACAUGCAAGUCGAACGGAAAGGCCCUGCUUUUGUGGGGUGCUCGAGUGGCGAACGGGUGAGUAACACGUGAGUAACCUGCCCUUGACUUUGUGAUAACUUCAGGAAACUGGGGCUAAUACCGGAUAUGAGCUCCUGCUGCAUGGUGGGGGUUGGAAAGUUUCGGCGGUUGGGGAUGGACUCGCGGCUUAUCAGCUUGUUGGUGGGGUAGUGGCUUACCAAGGCUUUGACGGGUAGCCGGCCUGAGAGGGUGAACGGGCACAUUGGGACUGAGAGACGGCGCAGACUCGUACGGGAGGCAGCAGUGGGGAAUAUUGCACAAUGGGCGGAAGCCUGAUGAAGCAACGCCGCGUGCGGGAUGACGGCCUUCGGGGUGUAAACCGCUUUCGCAGGUGACGAAGCGUGAGUGACGGUAAUGGGUAAAGAAGCACCGGCUAACUACGUG